AUGGGCUGGAGCUCUGGUCUGGUGGGGAGUGCUGGGGGUGCUGGGGAGAACAGGAAGGGGAGGGGGUGUGGGAGGAAGCCCUCCUAUCUGUCUUUUAUUAAUAGUUGCUUGUCCGUUUACCCUCUGGUUUCUCAUCACUCCAGCCAGCAGAGACCAGCUCAGGACGAAGCCUGGGCAGUAGCCUGGGAGGAACUGGGCUUCGGAACCACAGGGGCCCAGGUGCGCCAGGGAAGCGCAGAGGUCCCAGCGUGUGGGCAGGAAGCUCAAGUGACAGCUCCAGUAGACCCUGGCGGGGGCAAGGGCACAGCACAAAUGGCUACAUAUGUGAACAAAGUGCGCGGUGGGGCACGGUGGUUGCGGAGCCUGAGCACACCAAGGAGUGCAUCAGACUUCAAGGGUCAAACUGCAAGGAGGCAGCUUUUGAUUUUGGGGGCAACGAACUAGGACUUGAUGGGCCGAAAGGAAGUGUCUAAACAGCAAGCUGCUUACCGCAAUCUCCAUCAGAAGUUGUGGGACGGAUAGCGGUCUGGGGUUUGUGUGCUGCGCACAGUACCCUCAUCACCACACAAGGGAAGCUGUGGAUUUGGGGUCAGAAUGAGAAGGAGCAGCUGGGACCCGGCGACACCAAGAGAAUGGAGGCCCCCAGAGUCACUGAGGGUCUCUACCAGGAAGUGAGUGUGUAGGCAGCUUGCGGGCGGAACCUCACCUUGGCCUUGAUGGAAACUGGCUCUGCGUUUGCAUUUGGGGAGAACAAGAUGGGGCAGCUGAGCCUCCGCAGCCACACAGAAGCAACCCCAGCCCCGAGCAGAUCAUGGACAACGGGCAGCCAAUUACCAGAAUGGCCAGUAGAAAUGAAUUCAGUACAAUGGGUGGCAAAGAAAACCUACUCGAUAUGCUCAGCUUGGACCCAGGCACAGGGAAUAGUGUAAGACUGCAAGCUGGUGGCGGUGCCCGGGCGAGUGGCCCACUUUCACUGAGAAUGAAAGAUGGGCAGAUGCUGCCUGUACCAAAGGUGGUUGUGUUUGUGAACGAUGUGGCCUGUGAUGCUAACCACACAUUGAUUCUGGACUCUGAGUAAUGAGUCUUCUCCUGGGGCUUUGGUGGCUAUGGUUGGCUGGGCCACUCAGAACAGAAGGAUGAGAUGGUCCCCACUUGGUGAAGUUAGAGUUUGACUUCCUUGGGUAUGAGGUAUCCCAGAUCCAUGUUGGUUACGCCUGAUCCUUUGCUGUCUGUGAAAUUGGUGUCUCGUUUUCUGGGAAGCCCAAUAUCUCCCAUGAAUCCACCAUGUACCUGAAAGCAGUGCAGGACCUCUGUGGCUGAAGAAUCCAGAGCCUGGCUUUUGGGAAGAGUAGCAGCAUUGUGGCCGCCGAUGAGGGCACCAUCAGCUGGGUGCCAUCAUCAACCUUUAGGUAAUUGGGCUACAGGGGCCACGAGCCCAAGUCUUCCACUGCAGCCCAAGAGGUGAAGACUCUGGAUGGCAUCUUUUCAAAGCAGGUCGCCAUAGGCUACUCCUUGGUGAUAGCGAGAGAUGAUAGUGAGACCAAGAAAGAGAAGAUCAAGAAACUGCUAGGCUACAACCCCUGGACCCUUUGAUGCUCCUGAGGAAUCCUGCAACUCCACACGUCUCCCAGAAGCUGUCAUUUCCCUGUACACUGAAAGGUAAAGUUGAACAAGGAAUUUCAAAAAGCAAAUGUUGGUCAAAGAUGCAUUUUCAUUAGACUCCCUGAGGUUCCGUUUUCACAAGAGAACCAAUGUUAAUUAUCCUUUUCUGUAUACUUUUUAAAGUCGGUUUUUUUCUCUCUUCAUGUUUAAUUAAA